CGAAGAACCUUACCAAGGCUUGACAUGGACCGGACCGCCGCAGAAAUGUGGUUUCUCCUUUUGGGGCCGGUUCACAGGUGGUGCAUGGUUGUCGUCAGCUCGUGUCGUGAGAUGUUGGGUUAAGUCCCGCAACGAGCGCAACCCUCGUUCCAUGUUGCCAGCACGUAGUGGUGGGGACUCAUGGGAGACUGCCGGGGUCAACUCGGAGGAAGGUGGGGACGACGUCAAAUCAUCAUGCCCCUUAUGUCUUGGGCUUCACGCAUGCUACAAUGGCCGGUACAAAGGGUUGCGAUACUGUGAGGUGGAGCUAAUCCCAAAAAGCCGGUCUCAGUUCGGAUUGGGGUCUGCGACUCGACCCCAUGAAGUCGGAGUCGCUAGUAAUCGCAGAUCAGCAACGCUGCGGUGAAUACGUUCCCGGGUCUUGUACACACCGA
rnacentral:rRNA from 1 species